CACCUGGAACCACUGUCCUUGCCAGAGAGGGCAAAGGGAUGGUUGGAUGGGUGAGGGAAUGGGUCAGGGAGUACAAGCACCAUUAGAGUGAGUAGUGCAGCACCUGGAAAGGAAGGGGGGAGUUAAUCCAGACAAAAUCCAAGCACCUGCCCAACCUGUGAUAUUUUUAGGAACUCAGUGGUGCUGUGGUCCCCAGGAAGUAUUGCCCAGGACUAGGCAGGGGACUUCAGGCUUGGUCACCCCCAGAGCAAGUCUCUAGGGGCAGGCAGUGGGGAGGCAGCUCUGCUGGUGAGGAUGGGGUUAUUUUCUCUGCUUUAUUUUGUCUCCAGAGAUAUUCUGCCCAUUAAUCCAAACUGACUCCAUCUCCUAACUCUCUGAAGAGGUUUUCUGCUUUUUGUGGGAGGAGUUGAUGUGACUGACUUCUUUUUGAAAUGCAGCAGUGCUCUCAAGGAUAUUUCCCCCCCACUCCUGGGCUUGUGCAGGGCUGUUGAGUCCGUGUGUGCCACUGUUCUUGUCCCAGGGGGACCGAGUGACAUUUGGAACCAAACCUGGGGACUUGGGACCGAGCCCAGACCUGAUCCUGUUCAUGAACCACAAGGGCUGAAACUGUUCUGCAAGCCCAGUUUGCAGAGCAGGAGCUUUUCAAUACUCAGCACUGAGCAAAGGAAUUCAUUUCCCCUGAAAUGUUCUGGGAAGGUUCUGUGUGUGCCAGCCCUGCUUCCUCCCCAGUGUGCCAGCCCUGCUUCCUCCCCAGUGUGCCAGCCCUGCUUCCUCCCCAGUGUGCCCUCCUUUGUGCUCCUCUGCCUCAAGGCCAGGGCUGGCUGGGCACUGCCCUUGUUCAGGCAGGAGUGCCCGUGGGCAGUGGGUUUGUCAGCAGUGGGCACAGCUCCCAGGGGCUGUUCUGGCUGGGCACACGUUUGCACAGGUUACUGCAGUCCCAAGGACUUGGCUUGGGGCUUUUCAGGAAGGGCCAGAAAGACUUUCUUUUGCCACUUCUGCCAUUCCUGAAAGUGAAAUCUCUGCACUGAAACUUCUCUAAAUAAACUGUCCAAUUUUUUUAUUCCCCCCAGAGUGAAGCUCCCAAUUUUGGAUGCCAGGGUGCUGCCAGCUUUAUUUGCCCAGCUGGGCACAGUGUCUGUAGAGGUACCCAGUGUCUCCUGUCCUUGUCCUUUCUCAGUUGGGAAGUGAGUGGUCUCCUCCCCUCUGACUCUGCCCUGGUCCCCAGCACCUGCUGAUUUCAAGAGAGCAGCAUCUUAGGCCAAAGGUGUUCCUGCCCUUUCUCUGCUCCCCCCUCCACCCACGGCCCUGGCAGGGAGAGCCAGCUCUGAGCUCCCAAAUCUGCAGUGCCCAGGCAGAUGCCCCGGGGCAGCUGAGAGCUCUGCUGGGCUCACACUGGCAGCUUUGCUUCUCCAUUGGCUUGGCUGGUUCCUGUUAGGAGAAGGUUUGUUGUUUUUCCUCCACUGUAAUAAUUCAGGGAAAUCCUGAGAUAUGAUUUAAGAAAGAAAGUCAUGAACUGUUGCAAUAAAUGUGAAUCUGAGAGUGCCUAAAAGCUGUUACUGAAUUCCAUUUCCAGGGACUGUCCUGGUGGGGAUAAUCCAGAAUUGCAGCUCUGAUGUUUAAAAAGGAGCCUGUGCUACUUCUUGUUUCCUGUGCUGGGCUUUCCUUGAACAGUGCCCAGGGAGGGGAGCAGCAACAGCUUCACUUGGAAGUGGACUCUGGUUUUUGAGAACAUCCUAAGCUCAGUGUGGUUUUGGUAUCACUCAGUACUUAUUUUAUUUGCCAUUUCUCUUAAAUUGUAUACACCUUUGAAGUGCCAGCUGUGUUUUGAAGACAUUCUUACAGUUGUUUCAAGUGAAAUUUGGACUGUUACACAUUUAGAAAGAGAUGAUUUUCCUGUGAAUAAACUACUAAAACAAAGGGGGGAGUGAGGAAAGCCAAGCUCAGGAGAUAACCUUACCAACUGGUUUGGGAAGUUGUUUACCUAAAUAGCCCAAAUUGGUUUGAGCUGCAGCACAAACAGGGGGGAGAAGGAGAGGGUUUGUAUUUUGACAGUUCUUUCAGUUUUUUGCAGGGACUACUGCCAGGUUCUCUUUGAAGUCCAAACCCUAUUAGCAUGGGGAAAUGUGUGUUUGGCUUUAGAAAUAGGAGUGUGUAUUUCCCUUUGAACUAGAGGAAUGUUUCUGUGUCUUUGAAUUUUAAAUUGCACAUGAAGCAGAAAUAUGUUUGUGUUUUACAGGUUAUAUUGUCAUGAAAAUAGAAAUGCAUCAUUGGAUCUUACUCCUCUGAGGGCAAACCAGCAGCCUGAUCAUUCCUUAGUCCCUCAAACCCAGUGCCAUGAACUCAGAGGGGUGUUUGGGUGCACAUGUGGUGAGUGGUGGUGGCCCCGUGAGAUGUGAGCAGCUGGAAAUGUGUGUGUGUGUGCAGAGCUGGGCUGGAGCCCUUGGGAUUUGGCUCCCAGAUCCCCCCCAGCCUUCAGGAAAACCAGAGGACACCGAACCCUGAGUGAAGGGAGUCCCAUCUGCAGAAGGGUUUUUAGGUUGGGGAAAAGCUCCAGAACAAAGCCUGGGUUCCAAACACCUUCAGCAAAAGUCGAGGAGCACAGACCCUGAAGUCAUCAAGUUAUGGAGUUUGGUUCAAACCAUUUGCUUCUCAGUCAGUUUGAAUGAAGUGUUAAAAGGAGAACUUAAAUAAGGUUAAUUUCUGAUGGAGAACAAUGGGAAGAAGUGAAGUGGUUUAAGUUCAUUAAACAUGUUUUCUAUCAGUCCAUGGUUAUUUAAUUGAGCAUUGUUUGGAAUUGUUCUUUUUGCAUUUGUUCCUUGUGUGCUUUUCUCUAUCUAAGGGAUGGUUGGAGGUCUUUCUGAUUGGUUGGAUGUUUUUAAUGUCAGUGCUAGACUGGGGUGGACAGUCAUUGUAACAUGAUUGAGAGUUUGAUGCAUUUUAUUCUGUGUGCCCUGUUUGAUGUCUCGUGUUCAGCGAGUGCCUGGUCAGAGUUUGGCCCAAGCCUUUGUUUUUUGGGUGAAAACCCAAAGGGGAAUUGUAGCUGCAGCUUUGCCCUUGAGCUGCAGCUGGAGCCCAAGAACAAGGAAAACCUCCCUGGGGAAGGAAGGGGAGCCAGAGAAGAAAAGCAGCUGCAGCCAGAAAGGUGGGUUUGGGGGGGAGAAGAGCUGCUGGGACCCAGCAAGGGGCUCUGGAGGGCUCUGGGGGCUCUGUAGGGAAUCUGGGUCCCUAUAAUGGCUCUGGGGUCCCUAUAAUGGCUCUGGGGUCCCUAUAAGGGCUCUGGGGUCCCUAUAAUGGGUCUGGGGUCCCUCCCAUGCCCUUGAGAGGAGCUGCUGCCGCCCCAGCAGAGGCAGAGCAGUCGCUGCCCAGACCCAGAACUCCCUGAGAGCUGAACUGGGGCCGUGUGGGGCCAGAGGGGAGCAAAGGGAGGGAUUUGUUCCUAAGAAAAGAAAUAAAGUUUGGGGCAUUUUUGGGG